rnacentral:rRNA from 1 species
ACGCUCGACACCUACGGGAGGCAGCAGUGGGGAAUAUUGCACAAUGGGGGAAACCCGUGAUGCAGCGACGCCGCGUGAGUGAAGAAGUAUUUCGGUAUGUAAAGCUCUAUCAGCAGGGAAGAAACUGACGGUACCUGACUAAGAAGCACCGGCUAAAUACGUGCCUGCAGCCGCGGUAAUCUGAGCGGGCUGGCAAGGC